rnacentral:rRNA from 1 species
UACGUAGGUGGCAAGCGUUGUUCGGAAUUACUGGGCGUAAAGGGCUCGUAGGCGGCCAACUAAGUCAGACGUGAAAUCCCUCGGCUUAACCGGGGAACCGCGUCUGAUACUGGAUGGCUUGAGUGUGGGAGAGGGAUGCGGAAUUCCAGGUGUAGCGGUGAAAUGCGUAGAUAUCUGGAGGAACACCGGUGGCGAAGGCGGCAUCCUGGACCACGACUGACGCUGAGGAGCGAAAGCCAGGGGAGCAAACGGG